CUAAAGAACAUCCAUGACCUCCAGUUAUGAGUAACAUCCUACCACGUCUCUGGGAUCCCACAUGAUCCUUCCUUGCUUACUGCAACCUGGAAGAUGGAGAGGAAGCUGGAUGAAGGUACACACAGUCCCUUCAUGUGACUUCCCUUUGGGUUUGCCUGAUCUUGUCUGUGAAGCUUUUCCAGGAGGGACACUGGCUUACUCCUUAGCCGUGCUCACUCAGACUAAUUCAGAGACCUGCCCUGCCUCCUGGGUUGCGCAAAUCCAGAUUUCGUAUUUUUUCCUCUCUGGAGAACAUCGCCUCUUUCCCUCAGAAAAAUCCCUUGGCUCAGCACUGAUUUCAGGCUCCGAUAUGAAGUGCUUUAUUUGUAAAGCCUCCCUUGUUUGGCUCCCACUCACCUUGCCUGACCUCCUCCUCCUCCUCCUCCUUCCUCUCCUUCUCUUGGCCACGGGCUCCCUGGGCAAUCCUGUAGCGACCUCCCCUCUGUCCUCUUGCUGAACCUUAUCCUGGCACUGGAAGAGCGAUGGGAAGGCCCUGUAGCCCAGCCUGCCUGGCAAGAGCUCUCCUGGAGCUCCUCUUUCUCUUCUUUCUCUUCUUUCUCUCGCUGCAGCACACGCCUCUUUCAGCCUGCUUGCCAUGCCAUUUCCUUUCUCCAGCUCUCUUCCCUCCAUGGGAACGAGGAGCUGGGCAGCAGCACAAGGCAGCAGGGCAGCAAACCUACAGCAUCUGAAAGAGCUUCUGUGAAUAAAGUGGGAAUAUUCCCUGUUUUGUUUCUA
rnacentral:lncRNA from 1 species